rnacentral:tRNA from 2 species
AUUUAUAUAGUUUAUAAACAAAACAUUUCAUUUUCAAUGAAAAGAUGAUUAAUGAUCUAUAGAUA